AUUCCCAUGCUAUACACCCCUCUUCACUCCACCCCUCCCUCCUUUGUGAUUGAAAAUGAGAGUCCCUUCACCUUUAAAAAGAAAAUAGAUGAGCGGUCUGCACCCGCAAGGCGGUGCUCUUGUUUAUAUCUAUUUCUUAAUAUUUUUCAGUAGUAAUAAUGUCUAAGAAUGUAUCUGGGUAGAAUGAAUAUCUGUUCUUUUAAAGGUUGUAACUGAUGCUCUAUUUCUUUUGGACAUGACAUGUAACUGUCUCGUUUGUACAGAGAUUCAAUUAAAUACUACAUUUUAUUAUGUGUGAUUCUAUUUUUGUGUUCCAAAUAGGCAGUCUGACAUAUUAGGUAUAUUGAAAACUCUUACAUAUAACAUUUGUAAGUAUCUGUUAUUAAUGACAGUUAAAUGAAACAAUGGUUGUAUAGUUGUGUAUAUUACAAAGUAUAAUUAUUGUUAUAUUUCGAAAUUAGAAUUAUGUUUAUAUUUUAAUUUUCAUACACUUUCAACUAUAAUUUGUAAUAGUGCCGUUGCUUCUUAAAUUUUAUGUGGUUUGGAUGCACACUGUUAUAUUCUAUGCUCUUUCAAAAUACAAUUAAGGUUUCACCUUAACGGUUAUAACGCGAGUGAAAAGCAUCCAUAUGUAGCAAUAUACACUGUUAACAUGUGAUUUAAAACAAGUUUUGUUCAAUUAUCUGUAAAGUUCAUUCAUAACUAUUUUAUAACAUGUCUGCUAAAUCCACUUACUAUAUUCAAGCAUUUUGCAUUAUUGUUUUUGUUUAACACUAGAAACUGUAAAGUUUAUGUGUAAUAAAAUUAUGUUCUGUUCUGUAACGAUUGUAUGCUGAUGUACCUCAAUAAUCCACGCUAGUAAUUAUCCACAAACUAUUUUCCGCUUUUAAUCCGAUGAAACAAUAUUAUAACUGUAAUCCAAUCUCUGUACUUUUAAUCUGACUGUCAAAACAAUUGAUUAGUGUCUCGGUAAAACGUGUUUUUAUAACAAUGAUUGACAUACCCAAGAGACCGCUAACUCCACCUUUUUCUCUGAAACAGUUUCAAAGGCGGAGCUAUACACGUGCUCAAGCAUAAUGGGACGAUUGCAAUCGAGUUACAAACACGCGAUUGGUUAAGCAUAUCGCUUCUCUAAACAAAGGAAUCCAAUUUUGUCGGCGAGAAAGAUGUUCUUUAUGGCUUCUUGACAGGAAACGGCUUUCCUUUGAUGACGUCAAACUGUCGAUUCACACAUAUUGCUAAUUUUCGCGAGACUUUAAAUGAUGUCCUUGAUUCUUUGUUUACAUGAACAGUAGAAAAACAACACCUGCUUACAUUAAGACUUUGGAUUAAAUUAUCAAAAUAAAAACAAGAGUAAUUGCAAACUGUGAUUAUAUUAAUUGGUAAGUAUCAGUAAAAAUACGACGUUUUGUUAGUCGUAAAUCAACGAUUUUCUUUUAUACAACAACAACAACUUUUGCCGCGGGGAUCAAUCUUCAUCGAAUUUCAUUAUUUUUUUCAUGGAAUUUCAUUAUUUUUUUCAUGGACCACCUCAUAAGUCGAUGCCGGUUUUUUAAUCAAAUUUUGGUGGUAAAAAAUCUCGACUUAUGACUGCGUUUUUACGGUAGUUGUUGCAUUAACAUUAAGUAGACAUAAAAAUUAGGUAUUCUGUAUACUACUAACAUUUUAUUGUGAUUCAAGUUGUAUUAAGUUUUGUUCUCUAAACAGAUAUUGAAUUAUUUUACUGAUACAACAACAUACGGUAUUAAAGCAGUUCCAUAUAUAGCUAGAUACACUAUUAUCAUGUUUGUCUAAAAUAUCUGUCAAGUCUAUCCAUAACCAAAUUAUGAUAUUUCUGUUAGAAAAAAAACGACAAACUAUAUGUAUUCAUGUAUUUUGUAUAAUCGCUUUGUUUAACACUAGAAACUGUAAAGUUUAUGUGUAAUAAAAUUAUGUACUGUAUAUUACAUGAUAAUCUAUCAAUGUUGUUUUGUGAACACAACCUCUGCUUGUAUGGAAAAAAAACACAAACCUUAAGCACUUAAUUUGUCGGUGUGUGUGCAUUUGUGUGUAUGGGUGUGCGAUAAAUUGCAAGUGUUUCCUGUUUGUGUUUUGUGUGAAUUAUGUUAAGCAAAUUAAUUUAACAAAAAAGUUUAUUUGACUUUAUUAGAUGAUAGUAUUGAGUAUCCUACCAAGAAAAAUUGGUGCACGCUAUUAAGGGAUCUACUAAGUAAUUUGGGAUUUUAUGAUGCUUGGUUUUUUCAAGAUGUUGGAAAUGAAAAUAUGUUUGUAUCAGUCGUAAGACAAAGAUAGAGCGACAUGUUUGUACAGAAUUGGAAUGAGCGACUUCAUACUUCUACUAGGGCAAAUUUUUAUAAACAUAUCUCCGUUUUUCAAUUUCAACCGUACCUGAAUAUAUGCAAUGUCAACAAGUUUCGAGUAAAUUUAUCAAAAUUAUGUAUGUCAUCACAUAGAUUAAAUAUCUAGACAGGCAGAUGGGCUAGACCUACACCAAUUCCAUUAGAUCAAAGAAAGUGUACUGUUUGUAAUAAACUCGAAGAUGAGUUUCAUUUUAUUCUUGAAUGUACAAUAUAUACUGAACUGAGAUCAAAAUAUAUUCCAUUGUAUUACAGACAACGACCAAACAUGUACAAGUUUAUUGAGCUAAUAACAGCAAAUAAUGAACUAUUAAUAAAAAAAUUAAGCUGUUAUAUUUAUCACUCUUUUAAGGUUCGAACGCAUAAUACAUGUGUCAUCAAUUUGAUUUAUUCUGAAAUGUUUUGUGCAGUAUAUAUCUUGUUGUAACUUUAAUUGCAUUUAUUAUGUACUGCAUAUUAAUUGUUGGGAUAGUACCGCAUAUGUAACGUGUUUUUAUUCACAUGUUUUUUAAUCUGUCUUUGUGUUUGAACGGUCGCCUUUAAUGGACUGUCAAAACUGUAUUUGAAUGUAUUUAAUCAAUUGCCAUUAUUAUCUUUUUAAUGAAGGUUAUAUUAUAGUAUCGUGUCUGUUCCUAGAUGUAUUCUACGACAAUAUGGCUGCAUUUUUAGAACUGUUAUGCACUGAUUUACAACUAUUAUGUCACAUUAAAUACUGUACUUGUAACAUCUAUAUUUUCAUAGAGCAUAUUACAUGACCUUUUGACCAUCUACAUUUUUUAUUGCGUAGGUGGUCUGUUAAAGGUUUAUGAAAUGCUUGUUUUUAAUAUCAAACGCAAUCAGUUAAAACAUUUUGUUUCUCGUGUUUGUUUAACUACAGACACCUUGUCAUAAUGUCAUAAUAUCAGUUUAAUUAAAUAAUAUAUUGUACUAUGUGCAGAGCCUUUGAGCUGCCUAUAUUUUCGUUUCGCAAAGGUAGCAAGCAAGGGCUAAUUCUUAUGAAAUUGAUACAAGCAUGAAAAAAGCAUAAUUGAUAUUUAGUUAAAUACUGUUUGCUAUCACGUGAAACGAAAUUUGUUACGCGGGGUAAGUAAAACGUGUUAUUAUUAUGAAAAUUGUCAUGUGAAGACCCAAUAUAUGUACAAUAUGCUUAUUUGAUAUUUUGUUGUCAUAAUUAAGCUCCAUUACAAAUGAUGUAAUACGACCUAUUCAAUUACAUAUAUACUAUCAAUGGUUAUUAAUAUAAUUAUACCUAUAUUUAUGCCCCCCUUCGAAGAAGAGGGGUAUAUUGCUUUGCUCAUGUCGGUCGGUCGGUCCGUCCACCAGGUGGUUUCCGGAUGAUAACUCAAUAACGCUUGGGCCUAGGAUCAUGAAACUUCAUAGGAACAUUGAUCAUGACUCGCAGAUGACCCCUAUUGAUUUUGAGGUCACUAGGUCAAAGGUCAAGGUCACGGUGACCCGAAAUAGUAACAUGGUUUCCGGAUGAUAACUGAAGAACGCUUAUGCCUAGGAUCAUGAAACUUGAUAGGUAGAUUGAUCAGGACUCGCAGAUGACCCCUAUUGAUUUUCAGGUCACAAGGUCAAAGGUCACAGUGACAUAAAACAUAUUCACACAAUGGCUGUCACUACAACGUAGAGCCCAUAUGGGGGGCAUGCAUGUUUUACAAACAGCCCUUGUUAAUGAAACAUGUAUGAAUUGUUGCAAUGAAACGUUGUUUUUUUUUCUUUUUCUUUUUUGUAAAUUCAUGUAUUAUUUAUGUUGUAAACACUGUAUGCUUACUGAGUCCACUUGGGCUUUUGGCCUUCUGGGUGUGUUGUUUAAUAAACAAUAUGUAAGACUUAUCAAACGUACUGAUAAAUACUAUUGUUUAUAUAGCAUUCAACAUGACUUUUGGACCAUGUAUAUGUUAAUUUCGUAGGUGACCUGUAUAGGGUUUAUACAAUGAUAUUGAAUAUAAAUUAAUAUCAAACGUUGUCUUUUCAGUGCAUUUUGUUGUGUUUGUUUAUUUAGAUAAUUGAACUGAUUUAUAACAUCCAUUUAACAAAGUUCAUUGUUUCCAGAGCCUUUGGGUUGCCUAUAUUUCCAUUUCGUAUAGGUAGACUGUAAGGGCUGACGUUUAUGCUAUUAUUACAUGCAUGUGUUUUAAUUGACUUUAAUCUAGAAGAUCUGUCAACAAGUCUUUUACAAGCCUGUUACUAUCACAAACUGUUCUACUACCCUUAAACAUAUGAUGUAUAUAUAAAUGUACUAGUAACAUACGAAUAUUCAUAAUAAAACCAACUAUGUAAAUUCUGAUUAGUACAAAGUGUUUUUAUUAGUACAUCUUGCUUAUGGAGACCUAAUAAAUGUAAAUUACAGUAUAUUUAUGCUCCUCUUCGAAGAAGAGGGGGUAUAUUGCUUUGCUCAUGUCGGUCUGUCGGUCGGUCCGUCCACCAGGUGGUUGUCAGACGAUAACUCAAGAACGCUUGGGUCUAGGAUCAUGAAACUUCAUGGGUAGAUUGAUCAUGACUUGCAGAUGACCCCUAUUGAUUUUGAGGUCACUAGGUCAAAGGUCAAGGUCACAGUGACAAAAAUCGUAUACACACAAUGGCUGCCACUACAACGGACAGCCCAUAUGGGGGGCAUGCAUGUUUUACAAACAGCCCUUGUUUGUAUAUUGCAUUAAAUUGAGUUUAUUAGCCUCAUACACUCUGACGCACUUAGGAUAUAUUUAAUUACAUGUAUACUUUCGAUAAUUAUUUAUGUUCUAGUGUAAUGUAUAAUAACUCAUAAUGUAUAAUAAUUCAUGUAUGCAUUGUUGUGACCAAACGAUUUUAUUUCUUUGCAUAACUUUAUUUUGUAUAAUCAUAAACUGUGUAUUGUGGAAACACUGUAUCAUGUAUGCUUGAUUUGUCCACUUGGGCUUUUGGCUUUCUGGAUGGAUUGUUUAAUAAACUAUGUUCUAAAAAAUGCAAA